rnacentral:rRNA from 1 species
UAGCGUAUAUUAAAGUUGUUGCAGUUAGAACGCUCGUAGUCGGAUUUCGGGGCGGGCCGACCGGUCUGCCGAUGGGUACGCACUGGUCGGCGCGUCCUUCCUUCCGGAGACCGUGCCUACUCUUAACUGAGCGGGGGCGGGAGACGGAACGUUUACUUUGAAAAAAUCAGAGUGUUUCAAGCAGGCAGUGCGCUCUUGCAUGGAUUAGCAUGGGAUAAUGAAAUAGGACUUUGGUGCUAUUUUGUUGGUUUCGAACACCGAAGUAAUGAUUAAAAGGGACAGUCAGGGGCACUCGUAUUCCGCCGAGAGAGGUGAAAUUCUCAGACCAGCGGAAGACGAACCACUGCGAAAGCAUUUG